UACGUAGGAGACGAGCGUCGUCCGGAAUUACUGGGCGUAAAGCGCGUGUAGGCGGGCGUGCAAGUCUGCUGUGAAAGCUCCUGGCUUAACCGGGAGUGGUCGGUGGAAACUGCACACCUGGAGGACGGUAGAGGUAGGUAGAAUUCCCGGUGUAGUGGUGAAAUGCGUAGAGAUCGGGAGGAAUACCUGUGGCGAAGGCGGCCUACUGGGCCGGACCUGACGCUGAGACGCGAAGGCGUGGGGAGCGAACGGG
rnacentral:rRNA from 1 species